UCGGGAAUAUUGCGCAAUGGAGGAAACUCUGACGCAGUGACGCCGCGUGCAGGAAGAAGGUUUUCGGAUUGUAAACUGCUUUAGAUAGGGAAGAAAAAAUGACUGUACCUAUAGAAUAAGCUCCGGCUAACUACGUGCC
rnacentral:rRNA from 1 species